rnacentral:lncRNA from 1 species
CUCCAUCCUUGCUGCUUCAUAAGACUCCUCACCAAUCCGGUUCCUCACGCAGACAUAUCCAAGCCCUAUACCCACAUCAUCAGCCAUGACCUUUUCACGCAAACCCUCAGGAGCUUUAUCAGAUUUCGUAACAACAGCCAGAGUCCUCUCCCCUGUCUUGUCCACGCGCUGAGACAUCCGAAUGGACUCACAAGUAGGAAAAUCAACAGUUGCUGAUAGAACAUUCAGUAUAAUACUCUCCUCUGGCUUUAUAUACUCCAUUAUAAUUUCAGAAAUUUGCUCAUAUAUAUCUUCCGGCUGCCCCUUAAUUGGAACUCUUGUGAUUCCAGGUAAAUCAACCAUAGUUAGAUCAGGAACACCAUUUUUUUUCA